rnacentral:rRNA from 1 species
AGUGACAGCGGAGGAUCAUUA